ACUUUAAAAAAUGCCUCCCAUUCAUCUGGCUUGGUCGGUUUGAUUAAUGAAGAUGACAAAGAAACUCUUGUUUCUGCAAUCCACAGCCACUUGGUUCGGGUUCAGUGGGCCCAGGGAGAGGCAUCCAGACCUAAAUCUGGUCUUUCUUUCCUACUUAAAAAUCCAAAGAGGCUGAGUGAAAAUCCAGUUUUGUCAAUACCAUCUUAACCAGCUUUGAAGAACAAUGAAAAUUAGUUUAUAUCUCAGAAAUAAAUUCAUACCUGUGCUGUUCAAUGGUUUCCAAAUUUAAAGUUUUCAUAUUUAAUCAGUAAAUCCACAUUCAGGUGCCUCUAUCAAUGGGAUUUCCCAGGCAAGAAGACUGGAGUGGGUUGCCUUUUCGUUCUCCAGGGGAUCUUCCUAGAUCAAGGAUCAAACCCAUGUCUCCUACGCUGGCAGGAGGGUUCUUUACCACUGAGCUACCAAGGAAGCCCCUUAAAUAAGCUACCUUGUAAUUUGCUAAACUCUUCUUUCUCAAAUGGACUCACGUUGUUCUAAACACCAGGCAAGGAUUUGAAACUGUCAAGAAAAGAAUCCAAAUAAAUAAAGGUCUUGUUUCUCCUUAAUCCUACCACUACCCCAUUAAGUCCCUAAAAAAGUGAAGCGUGGCAAGUUAAUUCUUUUUUUUUUUUUUCAAUUUAACCUGGACACUGACAGUAGGCUUGUUGAUGGUUUAGUCAGCAACAGGGUUGAGCAAAAGUAAUUCUGAAAUUCUCGUGUAAUUCUUGCUCUACAGUGUGGAAUCCAAUCAAUGCAAAAUGUCGUGUUCUGUGUUGUAUUUUCCUACCUCCUUUAAACAUUAAGUUGAAUUUUUGAAUGCAUGGCUUUUAUAUGUUAAGAGUGAAAUUAAUUCAUCCAUGAGCAUGUUGUAAGAAACAAUAAGAAAACUAUUAUCUAAAGAUAGUUAUAAAACUUUAAAAAUUUUUAUCAUUACUUUAUUUCACUUCUUGCUCUAAUCCUGACAGGCACAAACUCAACCCCUCAACCAAUCUGAUAGAGAAAGCAUUACUAUCUAAAAAAACAAAUCUUAUCUUUCACUCUUAUUUCCAUACCAAAAUAGUUUAUUAUGGUGUUUUUUUUUUUCCCCAGAAUCUUCUUUUUUUCACCUAGGGAACAAAAUCCUAACUAUGGAUUCAAAAUGACAGAUUUUGUGGGUUUUACUAUUCAGAGAUGAUGUCAUUUGUGGGGAAUUGUUGGGUAAACCAUACACUCUUUUCAGAAACCUGCAAUUACCUCUCUGAAUAAAGAGAUCAAUGUCAUGUUUCUAGAAA